rnacentral:sRNA from 1 species
AUUCUGGAAAAGGUCUCAAUGAGUCCAGCUAGGUGAUGAAGGAAAAUUCAGAAGCACAAUCAUCUUAAGGGUUGUAGAACUAUGGUGAUGUUCCCAAGCAUACAUGGUCUAGUGGUAGAAGAAGUUUUGGUGUAAGGGAAAACUUUUAGAUCCGAGUUCGAUUUUUCUUGUAAACAAAAACACAAGUCUGUUAGUUGGGGUUUGACCUAAUUGGUUUACAUGGUAAUCAGAAAUGCAUGCGGCUUCACUACCCUUUGACAUUAGUCGGAAAGCAUUCCAAACUCGGAAUAGUGACAAUUCGAGGAAAAGUCCACUCCAAAACAUUUUGGUACGUUUCCAUCCGGACUAACCGGAUCAACCGAUAGAGUUUAUCAAACAAGAAAAA